rnacentral:rRNA from 1 species
UACGUAGGGGGCAAGCGUUGUCCGGAAUCAUUGGGCGUAAAGCGCGCGCAGGCGGCUUCUUAAGUCAGGUGUGAAAGCCCACGGCUCAACCGUGGAGGGCCACUUGAAACUGGGAGGCUUGAGUGCAGGAGAGGAGAGCGGAAUUCCACGUGUAGCGGUGAAAUGCGUAGAGAUGUGGAGGAACACCUGUGGCGAAGGCGGCUCUCUGGCCUGUAACUGACGCUGAGGCGCGAAAGCGUGGGGAGCGAACAGG